GAUGAAGAACGCAGCGAAAUGCGAUAAGUAGUGUGAAUUGCAGAAUUCCGUGAAUCAUCGAAUCUUUGAACGCACAUUGCGCCUUCUGGUAUUCCGGAAGGCAUGCCUGUUCGAGAGUCAUUAACAACCGUUUCGAUCCCUUUCUUUCAGAAAUUACAAAGAGGAAAAGGGUUUGGUUAUGGUGGAGGAGGGAAAGGGAGCGUUUAGCCUGUAAAAAAAGAGGCUGUGUUCCGCCUCCCCCCCAAAAUUGUACAGGCGGUCGUGUGCGCACACGCAUCGAGGUGUUGUAAAAGCUGCCACGGCACUUUUCACCUGUGCAGUGCGAGAUUGGCCAGCCGGUUUAAAAACCCCUCCAAACAAUCAAAGGUUGACCUCGGAUCAGGUAGGGAUACCCGCUGAACUUAAGCAUAUCAAUAAGCGGAGGA
rnacentral:misc_RNA from 1 species